GCUGCGAGAGAGGAAGAGCGAGAGCGCCGUUUAACGGAACGGAUUAGCUGGGUUAUAAACCGAGGCGAGGCGCCCGGGGACGUUGUACCCGCUCGGCCGCCGAGCCGGCUCUCCAGCGACUCAUCCGGAUGCGCUAACCCUAAACCCCGCGCUACUUGUCACUUUUGAGGCACAAAAGGCAAAUCCCAGCUCGGACACUCGACCUUAAGGCGAGCUCGCCGGAAGCCUUCCCUUGACCGGAGUUUCGGACGGGGGUGAAGCGGGCGAGACGAAAACGACCGAGGCUCCCGAGGCGACAGAUCGGUGGCACGGAUCAACAACAUUGGGCUUUAUCGCCACGACGACGGCGGCAGCGGAGGCGGAGGGACCAGCUGCUCGGAGAGCGCGCAGCGCAGUAGGCGAUGGGCGGACGGAACGGCCGCUGACAUGGACGCCUGAAGCCUCGCUGGAAAAAAAAAAGUCAUCAAGAGGAUGUGCCAAGUGCGCCUGCGGGGAAAAAGCCCCCCCCCCCCCCCCUUCCAAUGUUCUAUUUGAAGCAGGAGACACAAUAUCAUCUUCAUAUCAAAGCCAUUAUUGCUCGGCUGCUGUCUAAUCGGCACGUUUCAAGUCGGAGGACGUUCCCACGACGCCUCGCCAAUCCCAUUUUUUAAUAAGGGCACUUUUCAACUUUUUAGAAUCAUUUUGGAUGGUUUCUCUUUUGCAAUACUAUAAUAUGGUCGUCUAUAUUUUGUUUCUUUCCUUCAUAUUUUUGUUUUUUGUCUUGGAUUUAUUUUUGCUUAACAGUUUUGUAAUCAUAAGAAUAUAUGUGUGCUUUGAGCGUCACUGUUAAAAUAUGUAUUUUUUCUUUCUAGUUUUUGUAUUGGCUUGUAUUUUUGCACUUUUUACCAAUAUUUUGUAUUUUUUCAUCUUUUUCGUUGGUCAUCUGUCAUGGACAAAAAACGUGCGGGUUGGUUCCCUUC